UAGGGAAUCUUCGGCAAUGGGGGCAACCCUGACCGAGCAACGCCGCGUGAGUGAAGAAGGUUUUCGGAUCGUAAAGCUCUGUUGUAAGAGAAGAACGUGUGUGAGAGUGGAAAGUUCACACAGUGACGGUAACUUACCAGAAAGGGACGGCUAACUACGUGCCAGCAGCCGCGGUAAUACGUAGGUCCCGAGCGUUGUCCGGAUUUAUUGGGCGUAAAGCGAGCGCAUGCGGUUUAAUAAGUCUGAAGUUAAAGGCAGUGGCUUAACCAUUGUUCGCUUUGGAAACUGUUAAACUUGAGUGCAGAAGGGGAGAGUGGAAUUCCAUGUGUAGCGGAGAAAUGCGUAGAUAUAUGGAGGAACACCGGUGGCGAAAGCGGCUCUCUGGUCUGUAACUGACGCUGAGGCUCGAAAGCGUGGGGAGCAAACAGG
rnacentral:rRNA from 1 species